rnacentral:rRNA from 1 species
CUACGGGCGGCUCCAGUGGGGAAUAUUGCACAAUGGGCGCAAGCCUGAUGCAGCCAUGCCGCGUGUAUGAAGAAGGCCUUCGGGUUGUAAAGUACUUUCAGCGGGGAGGAAGGGAGUAAAGUUAAUACCUUUGCUCAUUGACGUUACCCGCAGAAGAAGCACCGGCUAACUCCGUGCCAGCAGCCGCGGUAAUACGGAGGGUGCAAGCGUUAAUCGGAAUUACUGGGCGUAAAGCGCACGCAGGCGGGUUGUUAAGUCAGAUGUGAAAUCCCCGGGCUCAACCUGGGAACUGCAUCUGAUACUGGGAAGCUUGAGUCUGGUAGAGGGGGGUAGAAUUCCAGGUGUAGCGGUGAAAUGCGUAGAGAUCUGGAGGAAUACCGGUGGCGAAGGCGGCCCCCUGGACGAAGACUGACGCUCAGGUGCGAAAGCGUGGGGAGCAAACAGGAUUAGAUACCCGUGUAGUC